rnacentral:rRNA from 1 species
UACGAAGGGGGCUAGCGUUGUUCGGAUUUACUGGGCGUAAAGCGCACGUAGGCGGAUCGUUAAGUCGGGGGUGAAAUCCUGGAGCUCAACUCCAGAACUGCCUUCGAUACUGGCGAUCUAGAGUCCGGAAGAGGUGAGUGGAACUCCUAGUGUAGAGGUGGAAUUCGUAGAUAUUAGGAAGAACACCAGUGGCGAAGGCGGCUCACUGGUCCGGUACUGACGCUGAGGUGCGAAAGCGUGGGGAGCAAACAGGGAUUAAGAAACC